UGUGCAACAGUAAUCAAACAACAUUUAAAUGAUUAACUACACAAAGUUAUAUGAAAAUAUCAAAUUCAAACAAAAUUAAUCUAAGAAAAUAUAUCUUUUUUGUGAUUUUUUCAUGAAGAAAGAAAAUAAUUAGAAAACAUAAAAUCAAAUAUGUAUCUAAAAUAUUUUUUGGAGUUUUUAAUAAGGAUUAGAAAAUCAAACUAAAUCCUAUAUUAAAUAAAAUACUAAUUCCUUUUUAUGCAAACUAUUUUUCUAAAGAAAAUUAAAAGAAAUAGUUAGUAAAAAAACAAUUAAAUAUUUGGGCCAGAGGGUUUGAAAUUCGUAUGGAGGUGCAGGCCCAACAUGUAACAAAAGCUGAAUGAGUAAAUAAAAAAAAAAAGAAAGAAAGCUGGGCCGGACCGGGUCGGGUCAGAGUGACCCGGAUCCGCCCAUGCUCUUAUCACAAGUUGCUGGGUUUGAGAACCCUAAAUCAACACAAGAGGCAGCGCCUCUUUCUCACCAUCAUGAUUUUUCCACGAUUUUUUCUGUUUAUGAACAAACAACAACAACUGAAUCCUUCUCUCUGCUUUAUGCUCUCAACAACAACACAGCCCUUUAACAUCUCGCGGCCUCCCUCUCUAACACUCUCUGCUCUCUCUCUCAGGGGAACAACGACAGCAACAACAUAUCUCUCUCGUUCUCGGCUACCUCCGCUCACUUUCAUUCUCAGUAAACAACAACUUUAACUCAGUCUUUCCUCUCUCUCGCGCGGUGGACAACAAUGGUUCGGUUGCUACAGAACUUCACCAAGAUUCAAACUAUCUUGACAGAUAGAGGUAUAAUUCUUAAACGAUUUCUAUGAAUCCGGUUUUGAAACUCAUAUUACCAACAACACAUGAAUUUCGUUUUCCUCCUUCAGAACAUAGCAACAAUUAUUUAUACACUCUCUGCUUUCGGUUUUGAGCAAUUUACAGGUAUAACAAUAAUUAACAGCAAGGUUGAGAGUGAAAGGGGAAUCGAAUUACCUGCGGCAAGGAGGAUUUUACCGGUUUUACGUCGAGAAAGUUUGUUGAUUGAAGGUGGUAUGAAGAUGAAAGUUGGAUGAUGAGGAUGAUUGAUGCGUUGAUACGGGGCUGCAACUAGAGGAUCUAUUUUGAUGAAGAUGAUGCAACAAAACCUUUUUUGGAUAUUAGGGAGACUUGAAGAUGCAACUUCAAGUUGUUGCUCUCUACUAAGGUAUGAACUACUUCUUCACCCCUUUUCCAACUAUGGAACUAAGAAACUUUGAAAAUUAUGAGAGAAAAGGGAGGAGUGAAAAAGCAAGUAGUUAAGGUUGCUUUUGGUGUCAUUUGUUGCAAAGGGAGAACUUCCUAUUUAUAGGCAAAGUUUAGGGAUUUGUAAGGAAUUAAGAAACUUGAUUGGGAGGUUAUGGUCAUCUCAAGAAUGAGAAUAAGAAUAAAAAUAUUCUUCAUGAUUGCAAGAAUAAGAAUAUAUUCCUUAUGUCAUUAUCCAAAGAUAUUUCUUAUGAUAUGAAUCAUGCAAGUGGAAGAAAAAUCUCUCUUUGAUCCCCUUUUUUUUUGUCUUGAAUC